ACUUUAAUAAUUUAAAUAAAAUAAUGAUCUUGUAAAUCAUAAUUAAGCUAUUAAAGCUUUUAAAGUA
rnacentral:tRNA from 1 species